UCUAGUCGCAAUAAAAAAGAGGAAAUUCAGCCAUGGAAACCAGAGAAAGAAGUUCAACUUUUUUAUGCAUUAGGUGACGAAGACCUGUUGGUAUAAAUAGGUUUUUCCAGAUGAUCUUUGUACAGGAAGAAUUUAACCGAUUAACUGGUCAGGAAGUUACCUCUGAAGUUAUUUGGAAAUACCUCGACACAAUUUAUGAUAUGGAUGUUUUAAAUGAAAACGAAGAUCUACCUUUUAGCAAUAAACAAAGUGAUUUUGUAUUACCAAAUGACUAUCAAAUACCAUCUAUUCCAUUGUCACUGCCAGCGACACCAGCCACUCCGACAAAGUCUCAGAAUAAAUCAACCAAAAGCUGAUAAAUAUUUUCACCAUGCUAUUUGAACCUCAACAAAGUGCACCAUAACUAGAUUUCAAUUGGCUAGCUGAAAAUGGAUAGUGAUUAAGAAAACCAUUGUAAUGCUUGCCGAUUGACUGAAGAAACGAAAUUUUAUUACGGCUUAUUCAAUUAAUUCUUUCUCAGAGUUAUUUCUUAUUCAGUUAUGCAGUUCAAUACGCAAUUAUUCAGUUAAUAUUGACCACAUAUUUAUUCUCAAAACAUAUUUUUAUUGACAGAAUACAUUUAUUGUUACAUUAUUAGUAAUCUCUACAAAAUGUACAUUGUAAAAAGCAAAGAUUCUUGGUCAAUUCAUUUACGAUCCCAAAUUUUCAGUUGGAGUUUGUAAUCUUUCAGCUCAUUAUUCAAAAUCUCCUACAGAUCAAACUGGUAUGACUGUAUCAUCUUACCAUUUAUUGGUACACUUCUUAAAUGUCUUACAACUUUAGUUUUAUGUGAUCAGUGUACAAGUGAGUUACGUUGAACUUGAAAAGUCAUUUCCAGCUAGUUGAUUGAUUAAAUUUUGGAUUUCUUUAACAAAUUUAA